GAUAAAAUUGACAAAAAAACGUAUGAUAACAAAUACAGUAGAGUUCACGUACACAAAAGACAGAGUCCAUUGAUGAUGCCUUAUUCAUAAAGAGUUUAGGUACACAGAGCACAGAGUCUAUUGAGGAUGCGUUAUAUAUGUAGAGUUCACCUAUACAGAAACAGAGUCCAUCGAUGACGCGUUAUAUAUGUAGAGUUCACGCACACGGAUACAGAGUCCAUCGAUGGCGCGUUAUAUAUGUAGAGUUCACGCACACAGAUACAUUAUUUUUGUGCAGAUUUCAUGUACACAGAACGCAGAGACCAUUGAUGACGCGUUAUUUUUGUGCAGAGUUCACAUACACAUUCAACAGUGUCCAUUGAUGACGCGUUAUUUUUGUUCACCUACACAGAUACAGAGUCCAUUCAUGAAACGUUUAUGUAGAGUUCACGCACAGAACACAAAGUCCGUUGAUGACCGGUAAUUAUUUGGCUUCUGUAACUCCAUUGGAAUUAUGGAUAAUCCUGGAAGGUUUUCUACUGUCUCCCCCUGAAGGCGUUUAAAAAGCAGCUUGUCUGCAAGAAAU
rnacentral:sRNA from 1 species